AGAGUUUGAUCAUGGCUCAGGACGAACGCUGGCGGCGUGCUUAACACAUGCAAGUCGAGCGAGAGCCAGCUGAGGGGUAACCCUCGGCUGGGGACAGCGGCGAACGGGUGCGUAACACGUGGGCAACCUGCCCCUGACACUGGGAUAACCCCGGGAAACCGGAGCUAAUACCGGAUACUCUCGGCCGAUCACAUGGCUGGCCGAGGAAAGGUCCGCCGGUCAGGGAUGGGCCCGCGGCCUAUCAGCUUGUUGGUGGGGUAACGGCCUACCAAGGCGACGACGGGUAGCUGGUCUGAGAGGACGACCAGCCACACUGGAACUGAGAUACGGUCCAGACUCCUACGGGAGGCAGCAGUGGGGAAUAUUGCACAAUGGGCGAAAGCCUGAUGCAGCGACGCCGCGUGAGGGAUGAAGGCCUUCGGGUCGUAAACCUCUUUCGGCAGGGACGAAGCGAUCAGUGACGGUACCUGCAGAAGAAGCCCCGGCUAACUACGUGCCAGCAGCCGCGGUAAGACGUAGGGGGCGAGCGUUGUCCGGAUUUAUUGGGCGUAAAGCGUGCGUAGGCGGCUGCGCAAGUCGGUUGUGAAACCCCGGGGCUCAACCCCGGAACUGCAUCCGAUACUGCGUGGCUAGAGGUAGGUAGGGGAGAUCGGAAUUCCUGGUGUAGCGGAAAUGCGCAGAUAUCAGGAGGAACACCGGUGGCGAAGGCGGAUCUCUGGGCCUUACCUGACGCUCAGGCACGAAAGCUAGGGGAGCGAACAGGAUUAGAUACCCUAGUAGUCC
rnacentral:rRNA from 1 species